UCUCGAUUGGUCUAGUGGUCAGGAUACCUGCUUGUCACUCAUUGUACAAAGUUCGCAGGUGGCCGGGGUUCGAUUCCCCGAUCGAGAG